UGCGUGACGCUAUCCUAACCAUAAUGUGGUAAGCUACCAAUAAUAAAACCAACUUUUGACAGAGAAGUUGCUCUUCCAUCAACAAGUAUAUACACAGGGUUUCAACGUCGUCUGUCGGCAUUAUGAUUCACUACAAACAAACGCAGAACACGAGUCUGCAAACGAAUGACAACUUUUACCCCAAAGCAAUACAGACGAAUAACGUGUAAUUCAAACUGAAGACAGUUCAUAUACUCUGCAUGUGCCAUAAUACCCAAAUUCAAAAACUACCAACAAAUUUCUCAUAAUUGGGUAAUUUCCCAAAUGGCAAACUUCAGGAGCAUACAAAUUCAAUAUCAUAUUCAAAUCACACAUAGUUCUUCAAUCACCAAAAAAACUGACACGAUAUUUGUUAAUACUCAAAGACACACUUGGAAAUAACAGCAAUUCAUUGUUAACAAUAUUCUGCCGAUCACAAUUGCAUACCGCAUUCAUAUAUAAAAUUAUCGCAGCCAGACACCUCAUAGACUAACGACAUAAGAAUCGUAUAAGAAAUAGUCACAGCAAUUCACGACAGGAGCAUGAGCAGUUUUUCUAUUCACGAUGGGUAUGAAAUAGGUGUAAGUACCUUGAUCUGUUUUGGUGGAGAUGAAACCCUCGCCCAACGAAAACAGCCUGCACAAGCACAAGACCACCAAUCCAGGUCCAGGACACACCUAAGUUCAAAAGGUUUUAAAAAUCCAAAAAUUAGAAAUAGUCACCACAAUUCAGUUUGUUGCCCAUAUCAAAAAGUCAAACUGAAGAAGAAGAACAAGAGUGAAAGAUUAAAAUGCUAGAAGAGCUGUCAAAUAUUAAGCUACAACACAAUGUUCUGGUAAAUCUACGAAUCUCAUUUUGCCAUUCAUAUUUCAAGCUGCAAGCUAGGCUUAGGAAUCUGCUGGACCAAUUGAAUUCUUACAAACACAGAACACAAAUUUGCAGCAGACGUCCAAGAAAAAAAAGAAAAAAAAAAUAAAAAACAAAAGGGAAUGGUCUAACAAAUAACACCUAAAGCUCAACCUCUUCGAAAUUUGAUUUCACCCAGCAUUUGUUUUUGUGGUAUUUAACAGAGGGACCAAUCAAAAAAAUACUGGAACUAAAUUCCCCAAAUCUGAUUUCAAAAUUUUCAAAUAUCGAAAUACAUCACCUGCGACGCACUCGACGUUUUUCUCCCGGCGAAUUCUUGAAGAACUGUUGCCCACUAUGACACAGAAAUGGCGCAGUAAGGCGACAAUUCACGAAGCCUUCGAUUUUGAAG
rnacentral:lncRNA from 1 species